rnacentral:rRNA from 1 species
UACGUAGGGGGCAAGCGUUGUCCGGAAUUAUUGGGCGUAAAGAGCGCGUAGGCGGUCCGAUAAGUCGGCUGUGAAAGUCAAGGGCUCAACCCUUGGAAGCCGGCCGAUACUGUCGGACUAGAGUCCGGAAGAGGCGAGUGGAAUUCCUGGUGUAGCGGUGAAAUGCGCAGAUAUCAGGAGGAACACCGAUGGCGAAGGCAGCUCGCUGGGACGGUACUGACGCUGAGGCGCGAAAGCGUGGGGAGCAAACAGG